rnacentral:tRNA from 1 species
GCGCUUGAUAAGCGUGAGGUCGGAGGUUCAAGUCCUCCCAGGCCCACCACUUCGCAAUCCGCAAGGAUUGUCGAUCUCCUCGACAAAAGGUAUCAGGGGCCGUAGCUCAGCUGGGAGAGCGCCUGCUUUGCAAGCAGGAUGUCGUCGGUUCGAUCCCGUCCGGCUCCACCAUUACCGAGCAAUCCGCAGGAUUGUCGCGUAGGUGUUGAGUAGAGAUGAAAAACCGGUUGGCUGGUCAUUCGUAUAAAGGUUUGCGGCGAGCAUCUAGCUCUCCGCCUGUUCUGUAUGACAUCGUAAAGAGAAGAUUUGUUCGAACUUCAUGGACCGAAAGGUUCGUGAUUUGUCGCGGGAGACGCUCAAUCUGCCGCAUAUGAUGGGUUUGCCUAACCGCACCCUCGAACCGAUCUCGAGAAGCUGGUCUUUUUGUGCCAAU